ACCACUUCGGUGGGGAUUAGUGGCGAACGGGUGAGUAACACGUGGGCAAUCUGCCCUGCACUCUGGGACAAGCCCUGGAAACGGGGUCUAAUACCGGAUACUGACCCUCGCAGGCAUCUGCGAGGUUCGAAAGCUCCGGCGGUGCAGGAUGAGCCCGCGGCCUAUCAGCUUGUUGGUGAGGUAAUGGCUCACCAAGGCGACGACGGGUAGCCGGCCUGAGAGGGCGACCGGCCACACUGGGACUGAGACACGGCCCAGACUCCUACGGGAGGCAGCAGUGGGGAAUAUUGCACAAUGGGCGAAAGCCUGAUGCAGCGACGCCGCGUGAGGGAUGACGGCCUUCGGGUUGUAAACCUCUUUCAGCAGGGAAGAAGCGAAAGUGACGGUACCUGCAGAAGAAGCGCCGGCUAACUACGUGCCAGCAGCCGCGGUAAUACGUAGGGCGCGAGCGUUGUCCGGAAUUAUUGGGCGUAAAGAGCUCGUAGGCGGCUUGUCACGUCGGUUGUGAAAGCCCGGGGCUUAACCCCGGGUCUGCAGUCGAUACGGGCAGGCUAGAGUUCGGUAGGGGAGAUCGGAAUUCCUGGUGUAGCGGUGAAAUGCGCAGAUAU
rnacentral:rRNA from 1 species